rnacentral:rRNA from 1 species
AUUGAACGCUGGCGGCAGGCUUAACACGUGCAAGUCGAGCGGGGUGAUGGUGCUUGCACUAUCACUUAGCGGCGGACGGGUGAGUAAUGCUUAGGAAUCUGCCUAUUAGUGGGGGACAACAUCUCGAAAGGGAUACUAAUACCGCAUACGUCCUACGGGAGAAAGCAGGGGAUCACUUGUGACCUUGCGCUAAUAGAUGAGCCUAAGUCGGAUUAGCUAGUUGGUGGGGUAAGGGCCUACCAAGGCGACGAUCUGUAGCGGGUCUGAGAGGAUGAUCCGCCACACUGGGACUGAGACACGGCCCAGACUCCUACGGGAGGCAGCAGUGGGGAAUAUUGGACAAUGGGGGGAACCCUGAUCCAGCCAUGCCGCGUGUGUGAAGAAGGCCUUAUGGUUGUAAAGCACUUUAAGCGAGGAGGAGGCUCUUUUGGUUAAUACCCAAGAUGAGUGGACGUUACUCGCAGAAUAAGCACCGGCUAACUCUGUGCCAGCAGCCGCCGUAA